rnacentral:lncRNA from 1 species
CUAGCUCAGCCAAAGACGUGUUUCACAGCACCAUGCAUUAGUGCCCCAGAAAUACCAUCGCAUGAGGGGAGCAUAGAUCUUCCCAGCCCCUUGUAUGUAAACACAAUCUAUAACUAGGAGGGCCAAUCAACACAGAUGGUAACAACCAGAAGGGACAUUAUCGAACUGGGUGAAGAUCAAGGAAAAGGAUGAUUUAUUUAGCCAGUGAAGUUGUGUUUCUCACCAAAAAAAUACUUUCCCUUCAGCCAUUUAUAUCUCUAAUCCCAUAUAACACUUCCCCCUCUUCCCAGCUUCUAAUAAAGUUGCUUUGACA